GACGAACGCUGGCGGCAUGCUUAACACAUGCAAGUCGAACGGUAAGGCCCUUCGGGGUACACGAGUGGCGAACGGGUGAGUAACACGUGGGUGAUCUGCCCUGCACUUCGGGAUAAGCCUGGGAAACUGGGUCUAAUACCGGAUAGGACCACUGCCCGCAUGGGUGGUGGUGGAAAGCUUUUGCGGGGUGGGAUGGGCCCGCGGCCUAUCAGCUUGUUGGUGGGGUGAUGGCCUACCAAGGCGACGACGGGUAGCCGGCCUGAGAGGGUGACCGGCCACGCUGGGACUGAGAUACGGCCCAGACUCCUACGGGAGGCAGCAGUGGGGAAUAUUGCACAAUGGGCGCAAGCCUGAUGCAGCGACGCCGCGUGAGGGAUGACGGCCUUCGGGUUGUAAACCUCUUUCAGCACCGACGAAGCGCAAGUGACGGUAGGUGCAGAAGAAGGACCGGCCAACUACGUGCCAGCCGCCGCUGUAAUAC
rnacentral:rRNA from 1 species